UACAGAGGUGGCAAGCGUUGUUCGGAAUUACUGGGCGUAAAGGGCGCGUAGGCGGCCACUGCAAGUCGGUUGUGAAAUCUCCGGGCUUAACCCGGAAAGGUCAAUCGAUACUGCAGGGCUAGAGUGCAGAAGGGGCAACUGGAAUUCUCGGUGUAGCGGUGAAAUGCGUAGAUAUCGAGAGGAACACCUGCGGCGAAGGCGGGUUGCUGGGCUGACACUGACGCUGAAGCGCGAAAGCUAGGGGAGCGAACGGG
rnacentral:rRNA from 1 species